CCUACGGGUGGCAGCAGUGGGGAAUAUUGCACAAUGGGGGAAACUCUGAUGCAGCGAAGCCGCGUGAGUGAAGAAGGAAUUCGUUAUGUAAAGCUCUAUUUGCAGGGGAGAAAAUGACGGUACCUGAGUCAGUAGCCCCGGCUAACUACGUGCCAGCAGCCGCGGUAAUACGUCGGGGGCAAGCGUUAUCCGGAUUUACUGGGUGUAAAGGGAGCGUAGACGGGAGUGCAAGUCUGGAGUGAAAGUCGGCGGCUCAACCCCCGGAUUGCUCUUGAAACUGGACGUCUGGAGUGCAGGAGAGGUAAGUGGAAUUCCUGGUGUAGCGGUGAAAUGCGUAGAUAUUAGGAAGAACACCAAUUGCGAAGGCAGCUUACUAAACUGUAACUGACGUUGAGGCUCGAAAGCGUGGGUAGCAAACAGGAUUAGAUACCCGAGUAGUC
rnacentral:rRNA from 1 species